CCUACGGGUGGCAGCAGUGAGGAAUAUUGGUCAAUGGGCGCGAGCCUGAACCAGCCAAGUCGCGUGAAGGAUGACUGCCCUACGGGUUGUAAACUUCUUUUAUAGAGGAAUAAAGUGAGGCACGUGUGCCUUUUUGUGUGUACUUUAUGAAUAAGGAUCGGCUAACUCCGUGCCAGCAGCCGCGGUAAUACGGAGGAUUCGAGCGUUAUCCGGAUUUAUUGGGUUUAAAGGGAGCGUAGGUGGGUGGUUAAGUCAGUGGGGAAAGUUUGCGGCUCAACCGUAAAAUUGCCAUUGAAACUGGAAGUCUUGAGUACAGGAGAGGUGGGCGGAAUGCGUGGUGUAGCGGUGAAAUGCUUAGAUAUCACGAAGAACUCCGAUUGCGAAGGCAGCACACUGGACUGCAACUGACACUGAGGCUCGAAAGUGUGGGUAUCAAACAGGAUUAGAUACCCCUGUAGUC
rnacentral:rRNA from 1 species